rnacentral:rRNA from 1 species
UUACCAUGCAGUCGAGCGGUAAGGCCUUUCGGGGUACACGAGCGGCGAACGGGUGAGAAAUACGUGGGUGAUCUGCCCUGCACUUCGGGAUAAGCCUCGGGAAACUGGGUCUAAUACCGGAUAUGACCUCCUAUCGCAUGGUGGGUGGUGGAAAGAUUUAUCGGUGCAGGAUGGGCCCGCGGCCUAUCAGCUUGUUGGUGGGGUAAUGGCCUACCAAGGCGACGACGGGUAGCCGACCUGAGAGGGUGACCGGCCACACUGGGACUGAGACACGGCCCAGACUCCUACGGGAGGCAGCAGUGGGGAAUAUUGCACAAUGGGCGAAAGCCUGAUGCAGCGACGCCGCGUGAGGGACGACGGCCUUCGGGUUGUAAACCUCUUUCAGCAGGGACGAAGCGCAAGUGACGGUUCCUGCAGAAGAAGCACCGGCUAACUACGUGCCAGCAGCCGCGGUAAUACGUAGGGUGCAAGCGUUGUCCGGAAUUACUGGGCGUAAAGA